rnacentral:rRNA from 1 species
ACGUAUAGCGAAAGCUAGUUGCAUUUAAUUUGAAAAUUGGUGCAHGAUUGAUUCUAUCAWAUAAAGUUCUAGGUAGGUUAUGAUGAUGACAUUUCCUAUCUAUAGGUCUUGACCAAAUUACGUGCCAGCAGUCGCGGUAACACGGAGAAGACGAGUGUUAUUCAUCUUUAAUAGGUUUAAAGSGUACCUAGRCGGUAAAUCAAGUCCAAAAAAGGAUACUAAUUUUCUAGGGUUUAAUGUGAGGGGGCUCUAAUGAACUAUUAWURGUAGAGAGAAAUUCUGUGAUACAAUUUUCGGACAGGUAAAGGCGAAAGCAUCUCAUUAUGUAAUAACUGACGUUG